rnacentral:pre_miRNA from 1 species
GAUGAGUGGGGAUCGUUAGUCGCGUUGAAAUUUCCUCAUGUUCGUGACUAGAUCUGACACUCGUCCA